rnacentral:lncRNA from 1 species
CGAGAGCAAUGCUCGACCAGGGACCUUACCUCCAGUCUGGUCACUUAAGUAUCCAAAUAAGCCGGCGCCCCGAGAGCAAUGCUCGACCAGGGACCUUACCUCCGGCAAUUUACACAAAUCAGCCCAGAGAACCAUGCUCGACCAGGGCAAACCCAUGAAAAUCUUAUUGCAUGUCCAUGAUCAUCACCAGUGCGCACGCGGUCCUGAUGUAUCCCAUCAGGCGGCAUGUUCUACAAGCCACGUUUCCCAAGACACAA